GGGGAAUAUUGCACAAUGGGGGAAACCCUGAUGCAGCAACGCCGCGUGAAGGAAGACGGUUUUCGGAUUGUAAACUUCUUUUCUUAAUGAAGAAAAAAAUGACGGUAAUUAAGGAAUAAGCAUCGGCUAACUACGUGCCAGCAGCCGCGGUAAUACGUAGGAUGCAAGCGUUAUCCGGAUUUACUGGGUGUAAAGGGAGCGCAGGCGGGACUGCAAGUUGGAUGUGAAAUACCGGGGCUUAACCCCGGAGCUGCAUCCAAAACUGUAGUUCUUGAGUGAAGUAGAGGCAAGCGGAAUUCCGAGUGUAGCGGUGAAAUGCGUAGAUAUUCGGAGGAACACCAGUGGCGAAGGCGGCUUGCUGGGCUUUAACUGACGCUGAGGCUCGAAAGUGUGGGGAGCAAACA
rnacentral:rRNA from 1 species